rnacentral:rRNA from 1 species
UUGGAGGGCAAGUCUGGUGCCAGCAGCCGCGGUAAUUCCAGCUCCAAUAGCGUAUAUUAAAGUUGUUGCAGUUAAAAAGCUCGUAGUUGAAUUUCGGGAUUAGUACGCUGGUCGUGCCUUCGGUACGUACUGGUGUUACUGAUUUCUACCUUCUGACGAAUCAUCAUGUCAUUAGUUUGGUGUGGUGGGGAAUCAGGACUGUUACUUUGAAAAAAUUAGAGUGUUUAAAGCAGGCUCGCGCUUGAAUACAUUAGCAUGGAAUAAUGAAAUAGGACGUUGAUCCUAUUUUGUUGGUUUCUAGGAUUGACGUAAUGAUUAAUAGGGAUAGUUGGGGGCAUUAGCAUUCAAUUGUCAGAGGUGAAAUUCUUGGAUUUAUUGAAGACUAACUACUGCGAAAGCAUUUGCCAAGGAUGUUUUCACUAAUCAAGAACGAAAGUUAGGGGAUCGAAGACGAUCAGAUACCGUCGUAGUCUUAACCAUAAACUAUGCCGACUAGGGAUCGGAUGAUGUUAUUUUUAAUGACUCAUUCGGCGCCUUACGGGAAAC